rnacentral:rRNA from 1 species
CCCGCCGCUUACUCGGGGAUAGCCUUUCGAAAGAAAGAUUAAUACCCGAUGGUAUAAAGAGUUCGCAUGUUCUCUUUAUUAAAGAAUUUCGGUAAGCGAUGGGAUGCGUUCCAUUAGAUAGUUGGCGGGGUAACGGCCCACCAAGUCUACGAUGGAUAGGGGUUCUGAGAGGAAGGUCCCCCACAUUGGAACUGAGACACGGUCCAAACUCCUACGGGAGGCAGCAGUGAGGAAUAUUGGUCAAUGGACGAGAGUCUGAACCAGCCAAAAGUAGCGUGAAGGAUGACUGCCCUAUGGGUUGUAAACUUCUUUUAUAAGGGAAUAAAGUGAGGGACGUGUCCCUUUUUGUAUGUACCUUAUGAAUAAGGAUCGGCUAACUCCGUGCCAGCCGCCGC